GAUCACGGGGCUUAAGGGUAGAGUACCCCGCUAGAGACGUGGGUGGUACGGGUUCGAAUCCCGUCUGUGAUCU
rnacentral:tRNA from 1 species